GAAGAGAGGAGCUUGCUCUUCUUGGAUGAGUUGCGAACGGGUGAGUAACGCGUAGGUAACCUGCCUUGUAGCGGGGGAUAACUAUUGGAAACGAUAGCUAAUACCGCAUAACAAUGGAUGACCCAUGUCAUUUAUUUGAAAGGGGCAAAUGCUCCACUACAAGAUGGACCUGCGUUGUAUUAGCUAGUAGGUGAGGUAACGGCUCACCUAGGCGACGAUACAUAGCCGACCUGAGAGGGUGAUCGGCCACACUGGGACUGAGACACGGCCCAGACUCCUACGGGAGGCGGCAGUAGGGAAUCUUCGGCAAUGGGGGCAACCCUGACCGAGCAACGCCGCGUGAGUGAAGAAGGUUUUCGGAUCGUAAAGCUCUGUUGUAAGUCAAGAACGAGUGUGAGAGUGGAAAGUUCACACUGUGACGGUAGCUUACCAGAAAGGGACGGCUAACUACGUGCCAGCAGCCGCGGUAAUACGUAGGUCCCGAGCGUUGUCCGGAUUUAUUGGGCGUAAAGCGAGCGCAGGCGGUUUGAUAAGUCUGGAGUUAAAGGCUGUGGCUCAACCAUAGUUCGCUUUGGAAACUGUCAUACUUGAGUGCAGAAGGGGAGAGUGGAAUUCCAUGUGUAGCGGUGA
rnacentral:rRNA from 1 species